AUGGUUCAGUCUGCCCGACAGCAACAAGGAAGUGUGUGACCCAGACACAGCUGAAGGAGCUGCAGGGAGACCCGGACAGACAAAAGUAGGAGGUUUCCCAUGGUCUGCCUGCUGACUGGCUGGCCUGCAUAGCUGGUUAAAAGUUUCGGUUAUACCCCCCCCCACACACACACACACCAAGACGCGCAGACAAUGCAGACACACAACGUGGUGAUGAAUUCUCAGUGCUCCUGGAGCUGCAGCAGAUAAUGAUGACUUGCAGAACACAGGAAGGAGAAAUGGUCACUCGGGACUUUCUGAUGCACGCCUGUGGCUCCUGAAGAUGCACAAGAUGGACGUUGGGAAGCAGAAGUGAAAAAGACCAACUAAGCAGUGUUCAACAAUUGUGCUUAYGAUUAAUGUCUGACAUGAGACUUGCACUUCCCCCCCCCCUUCCCUUAGGCAGUCUCAUGUCCAGGUAACUAGGRGCGUGAAAACUAAAUAAAAGAGGGUGAACUGCAGGAAGUCCUCAAAACGUUGGGUUGGAGGUACUGAGCUGACUUCCUGUCCUGCGUUCYCCUCACUCUUGUCAAAGCUGAA